AUUUCUCACAUGAGGUCCCGGCGAGAAGGACCUGCUUCCAUCAGAUUCACACUUGGGAGAGGGGCCCGGCCUCCAGGAGCGCCAGGCAGAAAGGGCACCCAUUAGGAAGAAGAACACAGAGGCCAUGGGAGUGAAAAGUUUGAUGCUGGAAAGCAACAGUAGCACAUUCUGCUACAGAGCGGAAUGAAAAACCCUGGGGAGCAAAUUCCUGAGCCAGAGAAUGGAGCGGAGGAACCAGCCAAGGAGGAUAAAGAGACUUAGCCUAGAAAAUAAUGAAGAAGGACAGAAAGAGAAUACCAUUCUACUACACCCGCUGAUGACUUAAAACCUGCGUGCUCUGAGGCUGCCCGACCCUGAGCUCCAGAACAGACCAUCGAGUUCAGGAGACAAGCAUGUCAGCCAUGACACAAGGCAGAUGAGAGGGACCCCCAGCGUCCACACGUGGAGGCAGCGGGGGCAGCCGUGACUUCCUUCUGCAGUGUUGAUUCAGCUCCCUUUGAAGGCGGAUCCAUACAAACAGGCUGACCAUCAGGGCUGGUCCCAGGCCACCAGGCU
rnacentral:lncRNA from 1 species